GAGAAUCGCUUGAACCCGGGAGGCGGAGGUUGCAGUAAACUGAGACUGUGCCACUGCACUCCAGCCUCGGUGACAAGAGCGAAACUCUAUCCCCAAAAACAUAAAACAUAAAAAAUAGCUGUCUUUCAUUUUCAACAGUGGCUGCAAAGAUGAGAAGCCCAGCCCAGAAGAGGUAUACAGUGGAUGCUGGUACCGGAGGCAGACCUGGCCCACAGUCCGUUACAAAUCCAGGCUCCUCUUUCCUCGGUGUGGAGUGUCUGGCUGAGAAGUAGCUGCCCAGCCAGGAACCCCAUUUUUCAGAACCCUUUGUGUAUAUGUGGGGCCGAAUUUCUAGUUCUCCCCUAUGGACUCUGUGCAAGGCGUGGUGUGCUGCUUUCAGAUGGAAGGAUGAAGAAUUGGUCUUUCCCUGUCUGGCGGCUGCACAAGGAGAAGUCAGAGGUCUUCAAGGGGGCAGAGCCAGAGGAGGGAGGGAGCCAGGGGAGGCCACCCUGACAGCAGUGCUGGCGCUGGACUGUGACUGAGCAGGAAAUGAACUUUCACAGGCUGAGCCACUGAGAUGGGGCUAGCCUCUUACAGCAGUGGCUUUACCUCUUCUUUUUUCCAUCCCUCCCUGGCAACUGUCUUGAUCCCCGUCCGGCUGUCCAGGCCUCAUGAUCUGGAGGGAGGGCGUCCCGUUCCCUCUGACCUAGGCCCUUGCCCUGACUCCACGGUGGGCCAGAUGCGACCAUCUUGGCCAUCAGGCUCAGGGCAGACUGGGGCCUUCUUUCCAGGUGCCAAGCGCAGUCCCCACCUCAGUGGAUGCUGACAGGACGCUCUGGUGGCCCAGGAGGUCUUGCUUAGUCAUACGAUCCUCUGUGGAUUAGUGUAUGGGGACCCAAGCCACAUGGGACUUUAGAAAUCCCCCUUUCCCUCAGGAGCACCCGGGGAAAGAGAAGCUACCAUCCGUCAGUGCAGUUAGCCUCGGCCCCACAUCCUCUCUGACCCUGGCUUUUGUCUUCCGGGGGCUCUGUGGGCCUCCUUGUGCAGCCUCCCCAUGGUGCUGGGCUGGGGCCUCCUGCAUUUUCAUGGUUUCUGUGACCCUGCCUUCUCCCAAGGCCUCCCUUAACCUCUGCCUUGCUUCCCCUGACCUUUCCCUACCUCUCCCUGACUUCUCAGCUCUGUUCCCUGCAGCCCGCUCCAGGUCCUCCCUAGGGGAUGCUGUGGCACAGACGCCUAUGUCUUCCUCCGAAUAGAAGCACAGCCAGAGACUCAAAGAGGUCAUCUCCAGGGGUGAGCUUUCUCUUUGCCUCUGUCUUAGCAGAACAUGAAGUCCCUGGAGGGAGACCAUGGCAAAUCGGAUAAAAAUCUCUCUGUGGCAGAUUCACUUUCCUGGGAUUAGCCCGACUCUCACGCUGGCCCUCCCCAGAUGGACUCUGCCCUGAGUCAUUGGUACCUGAUGGCAGAGUGGGCGGCAGCUUUCCUCCCCUGAUCUUCUCUCCCAGUCCCUGCCUCAUCACCCUGAGUCCUCAGCACACUCUCUACCCCUGAGCCCACCCUCUCCCAACUUGAAGCUCCCGAUCCUCUGCCACCAAACCAUGACCCUGCCCUUCCUUCUGAACUCUGAGUGGCAUUAAUUGCCUCAAAACAUUUCUUAGGCUAAUCUCCCAGACUCUGGUCCCUGUACUCUUCUUUUGACAAGGCGAGGGCUCAGCUCCAAUUAUCCUGAGGCGGUGUUGAGGGGGUGGACAUUGGAACAACUCUUCUGCCUCUAAUCAGCUACCUGAGCAGCACAGGUGAGUGAUUCACCUGAAGAUUCUAAGCCAGCAGCAUAGCCUCUGCUCUAAGGGACCUCAUGCAGGAAACAGACAGACAAGGGCCGUGAAGUAUUCUGGUACAUGUGGUACUGUGAGGCCCAAAGGAGAAUGGCCAGUUUCACUGGGGAGGGGCCGGGCUCAGCAAAAACCUCACUAAGAAGAGGGAGCAUGGAGCUAAGUCUUGAAGGAUGGCUAGGUGUUCAGUAAAUGGAGGAGACAGCGGUGGGGAGGGUGUUUCAGACAGACGGCACAGCCACUGCAAGGCCCUGGAGGGAGCAUUGAGUCCCACACAUGGAAGGGCCAGAGGGAGGAGAUGGGGAACAGACAGGGUGAGAGGGCCUUGCCUCCCUGCUGAGGGGUCUGGCCUUUAUCCUGAGGGUGGUGGGAGCUGCUGAGGGAGUUAACCCAAGGAGUGACCUGAUCAGAUUCGUUGGUUUCCUCUGCCCCGAGGUCUUCUUACUUCUAUCCCAACAACUGAGCUAGCCUCCCGCCCCCAGCUCGGGCCGGCACACCGUAGGUGCCCAGCAUGAGUGCGUGGACACCACUCGUGUCUCUCACCAUUGUCCCUAAAAUCAAGCCCACAGUCCAUGGAGGCUUGCCCUGCCAGCUCCUGAACAGCCGGCUGACCCACUCCGACGCCGCGGGCUCACCUUGGAGUAGUGCCCAAGCUGGGUGUCGCUUUAUGAAUUGGGCUGUUUUUGCCACCUGGGCUGGUGUCCCCACUCCCCACCCCAUGCCACCCCCACUUUUCCUCUUACCUGGCUCUUUCUCAUCUGGAAGGUCUUGGCCACAGUAUCACCUACUUGGAGAGACUUUCCUGAGUGUAAAGAAGCCCCCACCGCCAAGAUUCUCCCACGAUGACGCCCUUUUACUUUGUAGCACCGAACCUGGUUUGUUGUUAUAUAAUUGUGGUUUGUUUGUGGUCUGUCUCCUCCAUUAGGCUAAAACCUACAGGGCACAUGGCUUUUGUCUUCCACUGUGUCUUGGGGCCUGGCACAGGGUAGGGUACCAGGACCAUGUGUUGAAGGAAUGAAUGAGGCUCAAACCUCUGCUCAGACUCAGGGCUCCUUAAAGAUAGGAAUCUACCUCCGUUUUCAGCCUGGGCCCCCUUCAUCCCCUGCACAGGGCAGGGACUGCUUCCGCCCCUCUCCCCUUUCUCCUAGGGUCCCUUUGCUGCAGGCAGAGCUGGAGCUGGAGCAGAAGUGUGGCUGAGGCCACUGAGGAAGCAUUCACAGCUCAGACCUGCAGCCUCCUCCGACCACAGAGCUAAUGCUGUGGAGCUGACCACUUGGCACCAGAGAUCUCCAGGGAAACCCUGCCAGCGCCCUGAGCUUAUGGCCUGGCCUUAAACCUGCACCACUGGCUUCAAAAGUGCCACAUCCUCUCCCUAUCUUUAAAGAUAGCACAGCACCUGCCUUCAUGAAUCCAUUUCAGUGAAAGCGGGGCUUAAAAACCAGAGCUGUACAGCAACAUACACACACACCCUAAACACAUCCCCACUUCUACCUUCCAUCUUUUCUCUUUCUGCAUUCAUUCCUCUGGCCCAGUCUCUGUGUCUCUGUUCCACUUAUUUCUGUCUCUGUCAAUCUGUGUCUCUUUCCAUCUGCCUCUGUCCCUCGCUGCGUCUCUGCUUCUCUCUGCCACAUUUUGUGUUUCUUUUCUGUCUCUGUCCGCUUGUGAGUGUUAUUCUACAUCUCAUGCCCUCUCUGAGUUUUUGUUCAUGUCUGCCUUCUCCUGUCACCCCCAAGGGCCCUGAGGUCCCCCCUCCCCUCAUUCCUCCCUUCCCCCGUAGCAGCCACCUCUCUGGGUGCCACUAGCUCACGCUUAGCUCUUCAGGCAAUCGUAGAAAGAAGAAAGGGAGGAGGAUGCUAGCGGGGAGCUUGAAGCAAGUGGUGGGGCAGCAGUGAGAAGUAGAAGUAGCACUGAAUAAAUACGCAGCUGUCUCUUUUAUCUCUUCUUGGCAGGAGGCAGAAGCUGGGGCAGGGGAGGCUCAGACGAAUGGGCAGGGAGGGAGAUGGAUGAUGGGGCCCAGAGUGAGACGGGGAGACUCAGGGCAGCCGACAGGACUGAAAUGAAGGGGGAUGUAAGUUUCCACAACCUCUGGCUCCUGGCAGGAGACUUUCCACCCUGAUUACUAGGGACAGGGAAUUGUUUAGGAGUCCAGGACACAAAAGGAUAAAAUAAGGAGACCGUGGGAAGAGCAGUAAGUGUGUGUGUGUGUGUGUGUGUGUGUGUGUGUGUGUGUGCGUGCGCACGCGCGCGCCCUACUCACUAGUCGCUAGUGCUAUUUGCUAAAUAUUUCUGGGUCUCCUCUUCCGAAUUGCACUCCCUGGCCCCCUUGUGGUUGGAUGGGGCCAUAUGACCAGUUCUGGCCAAUGGGCAGAAGAGAAAGUGUCACUUCCCGGCAGAAGAAUGUAAUUGCCAAUGCAACAUCUUCCAGAGGUCUUUCUUUCCCUCUGGCACUAUGACCAGCAAGCUUUGAGCUAGUGGCUUCUCCAUCAGUCUGGGCCUUGGGGUGAUAUGAUGUGCAGAAGCUGUGACUGGCAUGUCGCGUGAGCAAGAAGCAAGCCCUUUGGUUUUAAGCAGUAGAGGUUUUGGAGUUAUUUGUUAAUGAAGCAUAGCCUUGCCUAUCCUGACUGAUGCAGUAUACAUGCCUGUGAUUGUGUAGGUGUCUGUAUGGAGUGUAAAGUGUCCAGGGAUGUGUGUUUAAGCAUGUGUAUGUGCCAAUAUUUAUUUAAUACAUAUAGAAGCACGUGUGUUUAGAGGUUGUGUGUGUGAAUACAAGUCUUGGUAUUUUUGGUCCACACCCAGCAAAUGGUGAAGAAGGAAAGUUUCCCUCUGCUGCUGUCUUACCUCCUGUUUGAGGUAGACACACAAAGGGCCAGAUCUUGGGUCCCGCUUGCCUCCUAACCACCCGCCCAGCUUUAAUCUCCACGUCUUCUCUUCUUCCUGGCAGCUGCUACCCUCUUCCCUGAGUGUUCCUGGGGUGGCUACUGCUUUUGGCUGCCUGGCACAAUUUCCCUCUCUCCUAGCCCCAGGCAGAGUGACUGGUUCUGGGUUAGGUGUGUGGCCAGGGCCAGACCACUCAGACACCUUCCCCAGGAUUUUGCUGCUGGAGCAAGCAGGGAAGUGGAGCGCACCUUCCCUUUGGGGUGAUAGACACAGGAAGGGGUGAGAUGUGCAGCUGUCCUUGCCAUGGAGGGAUGAGUGGCCAGGCCGAAAGAAGCAGAGCUGAGAGAAAGGAACAAGAUGUUUUAGAUCCAGUGCCACCUGGUCUCAAUAAUGACAUGGGCCAGUGUGUUUGCUUGCUCUCCAAGGCUGUGGUGGACUUGUCUCUGGGAGGAGGGACAGAAGGGACUUGAUCGGGA
rnacentral:lncRNA from 1 species